UGGCCAUCUCCCCGAUGUGGACCGAGGAUCAGAACAACCCAGCCGUGCACACCUUGGUCUCGGACUUGCCAUCUCCAAGGCUGGGAGGAAAUGAAUCUGAGGCUGAGUCGCCCAGACUAUAACCCCAGCAAAGCAACACAUCAGCCAAAGCAGCUUUUGGAGGUUGUGGUCUGAGGACAUACAGCUUGAUGCUCCUUCAGCCCUUUUGCAACCAAGAGAGGAAGAAGAUAUGGCCAACAUACAGGCCCAGUGCUAGAAGCUUCGGCACAUGCGAUGUCAUCCACACUUAUGACCGCCCGGCCCCGCGUCCUACCGAUGUGGAGGUGCCCUGCACAACUGAACCUGUGUCUGCCCGGCUUCAAAGUCUAUGAGCUUCGCAACUUGGAGACAGUCCACCCCUGUCCUGAAAACAUGUUCAUGUGAUCCUGCUAAGACCCAGUCCCACAUAAGGCAGAACUCAGAUGUCCACCGCCCCUGGCCCAGCCAG
rnacentral:lncRNA from 1 species